GAUGAAGAACGCAGCGAAAUGCGAUAAGUAAUGUGAAUUGCAGAAUUCAGUGAAUCAUCGAAUCUUUGAACGCACCUUGCGCCCUUUGGCCAUUCCGAAGGGCAUGCCUGUUUGAGUAUCAUGAACACCUCAACUCUUUAUGGUUUUCCAUGAUGGGCUUGGACUUUGGGGGUUUUGCUGGCCUAUGGUCGGCUCCUCUAAAAUAAAUCAGCUUACCGGUGUUUGGUGGGUAUCAUGGGUGUGAUAACUAUCUACGCUUGUGGUUUUUCCACCAGGUAACCUUCGACAGCGGAGGUUCACUGGAGCUCAUAGAUGUCUCUCCUCAGCGAGGACAGCCCUUUGAAUGUUUGAUCUCAAAUCAGGUAGGACUACCCGCUGAACUUAAGCAUAUCAAUAAGCGGAGGA
rnacentral:misc_RNA from 1 species